UAGGGAAUCUUCCGCAAUGGACGAAAGUCUGACGGAGCAACGCCGCGUGAGUGAAGAAGGAUUUCGGUUCGUAAAACUCUGUUGUUAGGGAAGAAAAAAUGUAUAGUAACUAUAUACAAAAGAGACGGUACCUAACCAGAAAGCCACGGCUAACUACGUGCCAGCAGCCGCGGUAAUACGUAGGUGGCAAGCGUUGUCCGGAAUUAUUGGGCGUAAAGCGCGCGCAGGUGGUUUAGAAAGUCUGAUGUGAAAGCCCACGGCUCAACCGUGGAGGGUCAUUGGAAACUAAUAAACUUGAGUGCAGGAGAGAAAAGUGGAAUUCCUAGUGUAGCGGUGACAUGCGUAAAGAUUAGGAGGAACACCGGUGGCGAAAGCGGCUUUUUGGCCUGCAACUGACACUGAGGCGCGAAAGCGUGGGGAGCAAACAGG
rnacentral:rRNA from 1 species